CCCGCGGCCUGGAGACUGCGCAAGCGCGGAGCCUCCAAAGACGCCCGCGUAGCUGCUGGCGUGUGGGGCGCGGGUCCGAGUGAGGAUCCCAGGCAGCGGGAGUCCGGAGUCGCCCCCGGGAAAGAGCAAACCCGCUGGUAAUCCAUGAGGUUGACCUGCAGACGGCAAUGAGUCCUGAGCCAAAUAUUCAAGAGCCUAUUGUGUACAAGGCACCGGUGACAGUGACAGAAGCCACAUCAGGAACACAAGACCGCUUUAUCCUCAAACACCGUGUCUGACAGUCAGAAUGCACAUUAACAUAUUGAAGGCUCUGAGAAGUCUGCAGAAAGUACCUCUAUCUCACUUUCUUGAAGCCGGUGUUUCCUGAACUGAUUGGGUCAUAGAGACUUUGGGUUCUGGUUUUUGAGGCUCUUCGGCCCUCGGUGACAGUGUUCCAUCAGGCAAAAGGUAGAGUAGCAUUUCCCCGCCCCUAUCCAUGUGACUUGCUUUGGUCAACAGGUUGAAGGCCAAAGGGAUAGUUCUCACUUCUGGAUGACGACGUUUGAGCACCGUAUUCCUUUCCCACUGUCGCUGCAAUCAGUGACCCUCCAGAUGGGGGGACAGUUUCGGGCUAGGCCAGCCAAGUCUGAUGGGUAUGCAGUAUAAGAAGUCAACCUUCUGGGGGAAUCUUUGUUAAAGGCCACCUGACCCAGACCAACCUAACUGAUCAAAUCCCUUAGUGAUACCCGCAAGGACACCAGCUUUUGAGAAACUUGGUUCACGAAGGAUAGAUCUGGCCCCGUGAGUAGUCGAAAUGCAGUUUAGUGGCUACACUGGCUCCCUUAAUAAAAUGAAACCUCAAAUCUCAGAGGUCAUGAGGAAGGGACACUGGGUCUUCCCACAGAUGCCCAUAGAGGUCACUCACUUCUUAGCUUGGAACACGACUGUUAGGAUCCGGGCAGGCAGCCAGAGGGGAGCAGGCUCCGACCUGGAUCCAGGCUACACCCGAGGUCAGGGGAGGUGAGCCUUGGCGCUUCGCGGGAGCGUGUGGCCCCACACGGCACCCGCCGGGCAUGGGCUCCAGUGAGUAGGCUCAGGACAAGAGGCUGGGUUCCAUAGUCCGGCAAGAUUGGGACCAGCUGGAGGGGGCGGGGGAGAA